GAAGUCAGUGUGUCGUACAGGUACAGAGGGCCCUUCAGCUGAGCCUCAAUCAAGCUGUCUUACCGGGCUGGCUGUCAUCUUACCGGGACUGCUGGCGGUAUUAACCUGACGAAGUGGGGAUCACCGGGCAAUCUAUUCACACCCUCCGUCCGGGGUUACACAGCCUGCCUCUCUCAAAUACACGAUGGAUCAAGAUUUGCGCAGAUGAAUCUCUAAGAGUGUUUCACAAAAUUCAAAUUGGUUGUAAAUACUUCAAGACCACUGCAGAUCCUGAGAUAAAUGUGUUUCUUGUCAAAACAUAUAUUGAACGGUUAGGGGUUAGCGCUCGCAAAGUUCACAUUUUCAAUCACUAAUUAGCAUCAGGCCAAUCAGAGUUA